AUGACAGGUUUCUUUCAUGAGAACAUGUUAGGAAAUGUGCAUGUGAUUUCCCUGCUUUUUAAGGGUUAAAAAAUCAGGUGAUGUAGGCUUGCCCAGUAGGGGGCUGCAAGAUGAAUAGGGAAAGCUGAGGGGUUUUUUUACAACUAAGGUUAAAAAAAGAAAAAAGGCACAACCCUCCUCAGAGCAUCCAGAGGCCUGCUGAAAAAGGUCCCUGGGAGCUAAGUUAGGCUGAGAGAGAAGCGACAGGCCCAGAGUCACCCAGCAAGUAUCGUAGCUGAACGGGGAUUUGAACUCCCCAGUCCUGUGAUUAAACACAGGAGGAAAUUAAUAGCUUAAGUGGUUGUUUUGUUGAUAUCUAAUGUAUGUCUGGUAGACCUGGCCAGAAGGUGUAGCCGUGAAGGGGAAAGAGGGUUGGAGACAGGGGCGUAACUACCAUUAGGCAAGGGGAGGCGGCUGCCUGGGGCCCCCCACACCUCGAGGGGCCCCCCAGAGGUAAGUCACAUGUGAAGUGAGUGUGUGUGUAUCAGCAAAGGGCCCCUUUUAAAAUUUUGUCUCUGGGCCCACUCCAGCCUCGUUACACCCCUGGUUGAAGAUGUAUUGAUACUACGAACCAAAGCGUUGCAUGGGUGGCUAGCUACAAGGAGGCAAAUAGUUCUUUUAAAAAUGCCAGUAGUGAAGCCAAAACAAUUUAUUCAUGCUAAAUAAACAGAAAGAAAUUAUUUCAGAAUGCAUUUCUUUAUAUGUUGUAGUAGCUUAUGCUGCUAAAUACACAUUCUACUGUCAUCUACCUUUCUCUGCAAUCUGAAGUGUUUUCUACUGAGCAAUACAACAUUUAAAACUGUUAUACCAAUAUGCUGCUUUAUUCAUUCAUUCAUUCAUUCAUUCAUUUAUAUCCUGCUCUUCCUCCAAGGAGCCCAGAGCGGUGUACUGCAUUCUUGAGUUUCUCCUCACAACAACCCUGUGAAGUAGGUUAGGCAUGUGCACCUUCAAUCAUGUUUUCUCCUUAUUUUUCUUGAAUGUGAAAAUAUUUGUUCAAACUUGCAGAUGUGGAGGUAACACAAUUAAUAUAUUCUAAACAAGGGGGAAAUUAGCCUUAAAUUGUUUUUCUACACUUUGAAAGAAAGAAAGAGGAAGGAAAAAAUGCCAGCAGUGAACUGAAAACUUGAGCAGCAGCCAUUUUGAGAUUGGUGGUUGUAAGAGUUGCCUGUAUUAAGUAAACUUUGUUUGAUCCACA